rnacentral:rRNA from 1 species
UGGGGAAUUUUGGACAAUGGGCGAAAGCCUGAUCCAGCAAUGCCGCGUGUGUGAAGAAGGCCUUCGGGUUGUAAAGCACUUUUGUCCGGAAAGAAAUCCUCUGGGUUAAUACCUCGGGGGGAUGACGGUACCGGAAGAAUAAGCACCGGCUAACUACGUGCCAGCAGCCGCGGUAAUACGUAGGGUGCAAGCGUUAAUCGGAAUUACUGGGCGUAAAGCGUGCGCAGGCGGUUUUGUAAGACGGAUGUGAAAUCCCCGGGCUUAACCUGGGAACUGCAUUCGUGACUGCAAGGCUAGAGUAUGGCAGAGGGGGGUAGAAUUCCACGUGUAGCAGUGAAAUGCGUAGAGAUGUGGAGGAAUACCGAUGGCGAAGGCAGCCCCCUGGGCCAAUACUGACGCUCAUGCACGAAAGCGUGGGGAGCAAACAGGAUUAGAUACCCUGGUAGUCCACGCCCUAAACGAUGUCAACUAGCUGUUGGGGUUUAUUAACCUUAGUAGCGCAGCUAACGCGUGAAGUUGACCGCCUGGGGAGUACGGUCG